CCGGGACGGUAGCUGCGGUGCGGACCGGAGGAGCCAUCUUGUCUCGUCGCCGGGGAGUCAGGCCCCUAAAUCGAAGAAGCCCUGGCGCGCCCUCCCCCCCUCCCGGGUCUGUCCUGUGCCUCCUGAUUGCUGAGUGUUCACCUGGACCUUCUGACUACCUUCCCUGUGCUAUUCCAUCAGCCUACAGACCUGGUACCUGGAUUUUUGCCCGAGAUGAUUCCUACCACCUUACUACUGACGAAGACACCCAUUCCAGUGGACCACUGUGACCCAGGAGGCAUUCAGCCAUCAUGAUGUGGCCUUUACCUCCACUCCUGUCUUGUUCUACCCAGAUUCAGCACAGCCCUUUAUAGUGAAGUCAGAGUCCUCAAGCCAAAUAGCUAAAGCUGUUUUAUCACAACAAAGGCCUAGUUUGUUCCAUGAGUGUGCAUUUCAUUUCUUCAGUUAAAGCCUUCAGAGACACACAAUAAAUUUGGACCAGGGGAUUUUUUAGUUAUUAAUGCUCUCUGAAGAAAGGCAACAUCUUUUUGAGAGCAGCAUUGGACCACACCCCACAAUCUCAAAUGAUUGAAAUUCAUGAACAUCUAGGAUCCCGUGAAGGUCACUGGACCCUGUUUUUUCUACUUCAAAUCCUGUAGUAGCCUACUGAAUGAGAAAACAUAUUCUGACCCAUUGGGAUCAAAUCAAAGGCACAGUGAACUCCUCAUAGCAUCUUCUUUGGAAUUACUCAGGAACCAGAACUUUUUACACAAAUGUAAGAAAUUCUACCAAGGAGUCCCCUUACCUAACAGCAUCUCACAAGGCUGCACCAGAUUCCAGAAAAGGCUUCUCUUGAUACAUCAAGCAUUUUGUGACCGACUUAUUCUUAGAUCAUUGGUUUUCCAAAGGCUUUGUGGCCAUGAAGCCCUUUGAGUGAAAACUGUGCAGAAGCCCAGAGUAAAAGUGAAGCUGCUCUGGAUGAAGUAGUGAAGCAAGAGUAGGGGCCUGAAUCCUGCUACAACUAUCUUCCUUUACCACCGUGGUGACACCUAAGGGGACUUCCUUACAACACCUUGAACUCUUCCGAACACAGUUUGAAAACCACUGCCCCAGACAGCAAUAUGUUUGACCUGAAUGGCAUUCCAAUCUUUUCUGUACCUCCACUCAGCACAGUUCAUGUUCAGUAGAUGCUGAACAUUCUUAGAAAUACUGUGUGUGAACUUAGAAAAGUGCAAGAAGACAGGCAUGUCUUUGACCCCAGGAAUGAUCAUUUGCUGAAGAUGGUGUCAAGUGAACCUAGAUUAACAGCCCUCCACUCCAGAUGGAUAUCCAGUGAUUCCUAGAAUGGGAUAUAGCCAGAGAACAAUUCUAUGCACCCUACACUGACAGACUCCCUUAAGCAACACCAGAUGCUCUACUGGUACUUGAAGUACAUGACUUUGAAGUCUUGACCCUCCAUGAAUACCUGAAUUAUCAGCAAGCGGGUUUUGAAGCUGGUGCCUCAUUGAGGCCAUAUUAGAGCAACUUGUACAUUUGACCUCUUGUUAUCAGCCAUGGUACUCUACUUCGUGUGCAAGAGAUAACUAUGAAAGCCAAAUUCAAAUACUGGCAACAUUUCCUAAAGGGGCUCAAUAUCUAUCAUUCGUCUUCUUUUCCAAACUACACAUCACUGUAUGACUCAACCAGUAGCAGUUAUAUUGCCCCUUGGUUUUUAUUCAGUUUAACUACUGUUUCCAAGAUAAAUGAGCUAAUAAGCUUUAAAAAAAAAAAAAAAAAAGGCUGAAUUCUUUUUUCUUCAUCACUGGCAUAUCUGCCUAUUCUCCAGAAUUAUUAUGACUAUUCAGCUCACUUUAACAGUUGAACUUCAAGCGACAAUCUUUGAACACCCCUUCUCAUGUGAUUUAAAAUGAAACCAUUUGGAAAAGUUUCUUCUAGCCAGUAAUAGAUUUUUUUUUUAAUUGCUCUGCCUUGUGCCGAGAGAUGUUCUUUUAAGAUGAAUCUUUUGAUGUCUGAUACCACCAAAUAUAGGUGGUAGGGAGAGUUGGAGGCUGGCCCUUUGAGCAGGCCAUUAGCUUACUUGCUGGGCAUUUCCGAUAGCUUAUUGCCUACCUUUUUGCUGGAAACAAACUGAUUUGAAAAACAAAAUCUAUGAAGACUGCAGCUAAGGAUUUUAUCGGUAGACUUAAGAGCUUUUGUCCUUGUGGAUAUUUUAGUGGAACCACAUCAGUCUCAAUACUGUCAUUUUACACUGACUCAGAGCAGCUGACUUCAUUCCUUGCCAUGAUAUAUAUUUAAGGCAGGCAUUGUAACAGACAUAAAGACAACUUAUCUGUUUCAGCAGGAAGGAUUCAGUUUAUGAACUCUCAGACCAGAUCAUGUUGAACAAGGAGACUUUGAUGUGUGUCAUGAGAAAACUCAUUCUUUACUUCCCAGUCAAUUUAAAGGCCAGCUAUCCUGAGCUACUCGAAUGAAUGCACUGGUUAAACAUUGGAAAUAGUUUGUUUAUAUCCUUGUCUCUCUCUAGGCCAAUUGUGAUUACAUGACUCGACUCUACAUCUCGUCAAACAAGGCCUAGGUCUGGUUGCUGUAGACUGCUCGCCCUCAACAAAUAAAAUCUGGUUGACUAGCCUCCUUGUAUAUACAACUAUUAUUUGUUAAGAAGAAAUUAUCGUCAAUUUUCUACUACCUUCCAAUUGUCAGCUCUUUUUUUCCUCUCUGGUUUUUCCUAUACUUUACAGAAAAAGACAUUGAUCUAUACUGCCAUUCCCUCUAAUCCUGCCAUACUCAGUCAAAAGGAAUGACUUAAGAUGAAGAUGAUCAUCUGCUCGAGUCUAAAAUAUACAUUGUAUAUAAGAAUUGGUGAUUAGAAAAGCAAAAAACCUAAAACUUAAAUCUAGGAGUCUGUAUACUGUCUCCAUGUCUCCAUGCCUCAGAUCUCAUCUAAAUCUUUGAACAGCACCAUUCAACCAAUCUGAGGCCUUGACUUGCUUGUAAGAUGAUUCUCAGAGAUCGGCUGAGUUAAAAAAGAUGACGACUUGAUUACCAAAGAAAGUAGGGCCAACUUUGACAAAUCUGGCUCUGCUGACCCUGUCACUCCCAGAUGUAGCAUAGACUCCUAAACAGAACCUCAAGUCUGAUUGAGGAUAAGGCCUUCUCCUGAGCUGAAAGUUCUUUGGCAGAUGAGCAAGAAACUGAAAGCUGAUGUACCUGACUGGCUCUGUAAGAUCAGAAAACUGUAUCCAGAAUAAGCCCUAUGGAUUAACCCCUGAGUACCCAGAGUAAAAACUAAUUUACAGAACUUCCUUAUUGAUCUGCUGGUUCUUCCAGAUCAUAUUCUGGCUAUUGGUAUGGCUGGCCUUUCUGAAGGUACCCUGCUUGUCUAUUUUCCUGACUCAGCUCUUGCCUGCCUUUUUCACAUGUUGCUGCAAUUAGACUCACCGUGAGGACUACAGUCAAUUUCAGUCUAUCUUGUGCCCAAUACAACAAGGAUUUUUAAUAGUAACAACCCACACCUCACCCACUAGGACUCAAUGUUCACAACAGGAAGGACCAUUGCUGCAUACUCCUUGACCAGCAACUUUUUUGAAGAUAUUUUUAAGUGCAGAGUAGGCCUCUAUUCCUGUAUGUAAUUGUUCAUUUUCAGCACCUGGAACCUCAUCUAUCGGGUCUGGAAGGAAUACAGCAGUUCGAAAGCCGCGUCCAUUUCUCUCCUUCAGUAGUGCAGAAAUGAGUCCGAUUCACCAGUACACACAGAACUGUACCAGUUCAACCUAGCAAAAGAAGAAAAGUUUCCACUGUACUUAAAAUUUACAGCUGACUCAAAUUGCCUCACAGAAUUAUUUGAUGUAGAAGGCUAGUUGUCUUACUUCAGAUCAGCAGGACAGUUGGGCUCUCAGACUCAUGACCACUGAGUUUGCUUGUGUUGAAACUGUGGUUUCAUCCAACAUAUGCUAUUGGACAUGAUUAUUAUUCCAUUCAAAUGGAUUACAGACUUCUUGAGGACAGGACAAACUUAUCUCUCAUGGUGUUUUUUUAGAAUACUUUUAUAACCAAGGAAGAAACCAUGCCAGCUGUUACCAUUCAACUUCUUAAGCAGAGAUUAAGCUUUUUCAUAUCUGUUCUUAUCCUGGACAUCAGUAGUUUUUAAUUGCCCAGCAUCCGUUCCAUCUUGUAACAACUCCCUGAUGUUUCUUAAAACCACCUCUUCCUAUUUUCAGUCUGUGGUUUGGACAGUCUGACCCAACCUUGAGCUUUGUGGGUGAACAUGUAAUUCAGACCUCAUCAAUCAGCAAAUCCAUCUGAACUGUGGAGGAGAAGCUCUCUUUACUGAGGGUGCUUUAGCUUUGUAGGAUGAAAACCUCAAACUAACAGGGCCUACCAUGUAGAGAAUGAAGCCAGUGCAGGGGAAAGCAGAGCCAAAAUAUGGAGAGACUUGAAUCCUGAUGACAGCGUUUGUGCCCCUGGAUCCAACCGUGCCUGAAGCUAGAAUAUCCCCUGGACUUUUCAGUUAUGUGAACCAAUAAAUACCCUUUUUUGCUUAAGUUACUUUGAGUUGGGUUUCUGUUACUUGAAAUUGAAUCCACACUAAUAUAUCUACCAACAUUGAGACUUGACAGAUCCAAGUAUUUAUUAAGCUAGAGGUCAUGGUCACUGAAAUUACUUUCCAAAGUGGAAGACAAAAUGAAACAGGAACUGAGGGAAUAUUUAAGAUCCCACAGAAGCGUAAAAAUGACAUGGUAGAAAGUAAUAGAAAACCUAAAUGUCUGUCAUUAAAGGAUAGGUUAAGGUGUGGUUCAGCCAUAUAGGAAUAUCUCGUAUCUGUUAAAAUGAAUAAAGUACAUUCAUUGUGUAUGGAAAAAUGGCCAUGAUACAUUAGGUGAAACAAGUUAUUAAUAGAAAAGUGUACAGUGUGAACUCAUUUUAAAAUGUGUGUGCUUAUGUUUAUAAAUGCAUAGAAAGGUCUAUUCACAGCUUUCUUUGAACAGUGUAGAUCACAUGAAACUUUCAACUUUAUACAUUUCUGUAUUAAUAUUUUAC
rnacentral:lncRNA from 1 species